ACCGAUAAACGGCAAACCGUCCGUGAGGGUGGGGCGCAAAGCGCAGGGCCUCUGAUGAGGUCGCCUGGCUGCCGAA
rnacentral:ncRNA from 1 species